UAUCCUGUGUGUAUCUACUGCACGCCGCGAGAAGAACAUCACACAGGUUCAGGCAGGAGUCGCUACAUGCGCAGAGGAUACCUUUACUGAAGACACAAGUAAUCGUAGUUCAUAGCAGUGAUGCAGAAGUAGGAUACAGCCAGCUGAACGCUUGAACAAGUGGAUGUGCGAUAAGGAAGACGCCGGAGAAAGUGGAGUUACAGCCUUCCCUGUGGUGGCGGUGGCGGCGACGUGGACUACCGCCGGGGGUUCGUGGCGGCGGCGGCGACUGCCCGACAGCCCGGCGGCUCGAGGGCGACGAAUGCGAAACCCGUGCAGGCAAUGCAGGGUCUUUACUCCCAACUGAAGGACUCUGAGAGCGGCUGGACUCUGUAACCUAUCGUAGCUAGCUGGCUGGCGGUAGUAGCAGCAGCAGGGGUUAGGAGGUGUUGUUUGGAAGAUGUGCGGGCAACUGCAAGGGCAACAGAGACAGUGUGGUCAUGUGCGGUGACAUCAUCCUGGCCCGGAUUCAUUCAUGUCGUACAUGGAUCACCCAACGUUUCAGGUGGUGGCGGAGGAGGUGGCGGCUACCGGCGCGGCGUUGUCCCGGGUGCGUCUGGUGGACCUGGCGGAGGUGGCGGCGGCGAGGGUGGCAGAGGUGGCGGCGGCGAGGGUGGCGGAGGUGGCGGCGGCGAGGGUGG
rnacentral:lncRNA from 1 species